rnacentral:rRNA from 1 species
AGAGUUUGAUCCUGGCUCAGGACGAACGCUGGCGGCGCACCUAAGACAUGCAAGUCGAACGGGUUCUUCGUCUUCGGACGGAGGGCGAGUGGCGGACGGGUGAGUAACGCGUAGGAACCUAUCGCGCAGUGGGGGAUAACGCUGGGAAACCGGCGCUAAUACCGCAUAGGGUCGGGCAACCGAGCAAAGCAGCAAUGCGCUGUGUGCGGGGCCUGCGUCCGAUUAGCUGGUUGGUGGGGUAAGGGCCUACCAAGGCGACGAUCGGUAGCUGGUCUGAGAGGAUGGUCAGCCACACUGGGAUUGAGAACGGCCCAGACUCCUACGGGGGGCAGCAGUGAGGAAUAUUCGGCAAUGGGGGCAACCCUGACCGAGCAACGCCGCGUGCAGGAUGACGGCCUUCGGGUUGUAAACUGCUUUUCUGGGGGAUGAGAGUGGACAGUACCCCAGGAAGAAGCUCCGGCUAACUACGUGCCAGCAGCCGCGGUAAUACGUAGGGAGCAAGCGUUGUCCGGAGUUACUGGGCGUAAAGCGCACGCAGGCGGUCUGUCGCGUUCGUGCCGACAGCGACUCGCCUAACGAGUCGAGGAGUACGGAAACGGGCAGACUUGAGGGUCAGAGAGGGACACGGAACUCCGGGUGGAGUGGUGAAAUGCGUAGAGAUCCGGAAGAACACCAAAGGCGAAGGCAGUGUCCUGGCUGAUACCUGACGCUCAGAGGCGACAGCGAGGGGAGCGAACGGGAUUAGAUACCCCGGUAGUCCUAGCCGUAAACGAUGACCACUAGGUGUGGGAGGUAUCGACCCCUUCCGUGCCGGAGCCAACGCACUAAGUGGUCCGCCUGGGGAGUACGGUCGCAAGAUUAAAACUCAAAGGAAUUGACGG